CAGAUCAAAAUUCAAAAUCUGAAGGAAGAUUUCUACUGAAUGUUAUCAUUUUCACAUCUUUUAAAAGACAAGAAACCAAAAGUCAUAACCUCUGUAGAUGCCGGUCUUCUGUAGUUGCAUUUUGAAAGAUGGUCAUGUCAACAACGUACAUACUGAACCAUCUUCUCGGUAGCUCCUCAGACUUGGAAGUACAACAGAACAGCAGCAGCAAAGGUUACCCUCUGCCACACACAGUUGAGCACUGACUUGAUUCAAUCUGCUCUGAGAGGUCUGUGAAGAGGGAUCAAAAAAGAGGCACAACAGCGAAGCUGCCAACGUUGAGAAGAUGCAGGGUGUGAAAGAUCGGGCUCAGAAGUAAGUCAUAAAACGGACUGCAGCAGAAUUAUCACAGAUGGCUCCUAGGAGAAAGGAAGAGAUCGGAACUCACCCAACAUUGCAAAGCAAGCAAUCCAGGAGGAAAGGAAUGCAGAAGAGGUGUUUUAGGGUUC